rnacentral:rRNA from 1 species
CCUACGGGAGACAGCAGUGAGGAAUAUUGGUCAAUGGGCGUAAGCCUGAACCAGCCAAGUCGCGUGAGGGAUGAAGGUUCUAUGGAUCGUAAACCUCUUUUAUAAGGGAAUAAAGUGUGGGACGUGUCCUGUUUUGUAUGUACCUUAUGAAUAAGGAUCGGCUAACGCCGCGCCAGCAGCCGCGGUAAUACGGAGGAUCCGAGCGUUAUCCGGAUUUAUUGGGUUUAACGGGUGCGUAGGCGGCCUUUUAAGUCAGCGGUGAAAGUCUGUGGCUCAACCAUAGAAUUGCCGUUGAAACUGGGAGGCUUGAGUAUGUUUGAGGCAGGCGGAAGGCGUGGUGUAGCGGUGAAAUGCUUAGAUAUCACGCAGAACCCCGAUUGCGAAGGCAGCCUGCCAAGCCAUGACUGACGCUGAUGCACGAAAGCGUGGGGAUCAAACAGGAUUAGAUACCCCAGUAGUC